GGAUUGUGGCUCAGUGGUAGAGUGCUUGCCUAGCAUGCAUGAGGUACUGAGUUUGAUUCUCAGCACCA
rnacentral:tRNA from 1 species